AUGCUUCGGACACUUCAGGCGCUCUCGAUCGACAUGGAGUUCCGAUUGCUUCCCGUCACCGCCGCCGCACAGCUAUUUAUAGCCGGCAAAUCGGAGCUCGGUCUCCUCUUCCAUUCCACGGUGCAGAGCAGAGCCACACAGAGCGCACACGGGCGCCCUCUGAACUCGAGGCCGACGGCGACUGACCACCAUCAGCCAUCAGGAUGAGUGAUCGCAGGGUACUACAGCAACGGACCGCCGGUGAUGGCGCCGCCGCAGUACCAGUAUGCAGCUCCGCCGCGGCGGGAGCCGAGCUUCCUUGAAGGAUGCCUUGCUGCCCUGUGCUGCUGCUGCCUCAUAGACGAGUGCUGCUGCGACCCGUCGGUCAUAUUCGUGAGCUGAUGAUCAUCCGAGAGAUCACAACAUAUAUGAUGAAGUCCCAACCCAGCGAUACAUAUAUGCAUGUAUGUACAGUACAGCCCAGGAAUAUAUGUGUGUCUGCGUGUUCGCCCUUUUGUUGGUGAUGAUGUGUUCAGGCUAUACAAAUACAGUAGUUUAUCGCAAGUCCUCCGGUUAGAUCGUCCGAGCCUCAGGAUCAGACAGACGAUGAUCAUGCUCUGAACUCUGAUCCACGUGUUGCUCAUGCAUCAGGCAUAUGUUUACAGCUCCUAUAUUGUUUGAGCACAACACAACACGAUAUCUAUGUAUAUGUACGAAGUAUAUUUGAAUAAAUUACGGCGGACAGAAAGUGUCUUUGGAGUA